rnacentral:rRNA from 1 species
CGGAGGAAAAGAAACUAACAAGGMNUCCCCUAGUAACGGCGAGUGAAGCGGGAAGAGCUCAAGCUUAAAAUCUCCAUGUUUUGCAUGGCGAAUUGUAGUCUAUUGAGGCUGUUGUCAGCAUAGCGAUCCGGGACAAGUCCCUUGGAAAAGGGCAGCAUAGAGGGUGAUACUCCCGUCUCUGCUCGGAUCUGCCGUGUGUACGAUACGCUUUCUUUGAGUCGAUUUGUUUGGGAAUACAGAUCAAAGUAGGUGGUAAAUUCCAUCUAAAGCUAAAUAUUGGUGCGAGACCGAUAGCGAACAAGUACCGUGAGGGAAAGAUGAAAAGAACUUUGAAAAGAGAGUUAAAGAGUACCUGAAACUGGUCAGAGGGAACCGUAUCGCUUCCAGUGUUGUAUCCUGUGCAUAUUUCAUUAGCGGAGUAAUUUGCUGGUGCCCUGUGCACGGGUGUGACGUCAGAGUCAGUUUGUAUGCUGCGGGAGAUGGUCAGUGAGGAGGUGCGUCACUUCGGUGAAAGUUAUACCUUGCUGUCUAGUAGCCGUGGUUGAGACUGAGGUGCCUACAACAUGCCUUGAGGUUUAGUGCUGUCUUGUUUUGGUGACUGUUUGGAUAGCUUGCUAUGUCUGCGGUUAAUCAGAGCAAUUGAUGGUGCUAAUAACUUCUGCUGUUCGGGACUCUGGC